AAUGUUUUGAUCCAGUGUUGCAAAUCGACUUACCGUGGUGUCUUCACUACGGUGAGUUGACUGCUGUCGCUCCCUCGUCGACUCUGCUUGUGCUUCUCACUGAGCUAGAGUACAGGAGUUGACGGGAGAGCGCUCAAGGAUCGAGUUAUGAUGUCCAGAGUAGAUGUGAUAAAU